rnacentral:rRNA from 1 species
UAGGGAAUCUUCCACAAUGGACGAAAGUCUGAUGGAGCAACGCCGCGUGAGUGAUGAAGGGUUUCGGCUUGUAAAACUCUGUUGUUGGAGAAGAACGGGUGUCAGAGUAACUGUUGACAUCGUGACGGUAUCCAACCAAAAAGCCACGGCUAACUACGUGCCAGCAGCCGCGGUAAUACGUAGGUGGCAAGCGUUGUCCGGAUUUAUUGGGCGUAAAGCGAGCGCAGGCGGUUUUUUAGGUCUGAUGUGAAAGCCUUCGGCUUAACCGGAGAAGUGCAUCGGAAACCGGGAGACUUGAGUGCAGAAGAGGACAGUGGAACUCCAUGUGUAGCGGUGAAAUGCGUAGAUAUAUGGAAGAACACCAGUGGCGAAGGCGGCUGUCUGGUCUGCAACUGACGCUGAGGCUCGAAAGCAUGGGUAGCGAACAGGAUUAGAUACCCUGGUAGUCCAUGCCGUAAACGAUGAGUGCUAAGUGUUGGAGGGUUUCCGCCCUUCAGUGCUGCAGCUAACGCAUUAAGCACUCCGCCUGGGGGAGUACGACCGCAAGGUUGAAAC